rnacentral:rRNA from 1 species
GUCGAGCGGUAAGGCCCUUCGGGGUACACGAGCGGCGAACGGGUGAGUAACACGUGGGUGAUCUGCCCUGCACUUCGGGAUAAGCCUGGGAAACUGGGUCUAAUACCGGAUAUGACCUUCGGCUGCAUGGCUGAGGGUGGAAAGGUUUACUGGUGCAGGAUGGGCCCGCGGCCUAUCAGCUUGUUGGUGGGGUAAUGGCCUACCAAGGCGACGACGGGUAGCCGACCUGAGAGGGUGACCGGCCACACUGGGACUGAGACACGGCCCAGACUCCUACGGGAGGCAGCAGUGGGGAAUAUUGCACAAUGGGCGAAAGCCUGAUGCAGCGACGCCGCGUGAGGGAUGACGGCCUUCGGGUUGUAAACCUCUUUCAGCAGGGACGAAGCGAAAGUGACGGUACCUGCAGAAGAAGCACCGGCCAACUACGUGCCAGCAGCCGCGGUAAUACGUAGGGUGCAAGCGUUGUCCGGAAUUACUGGGCGUAAAGAGCUCGUAGGCGGUUUGUCGCGUCGUCUGUGAAAACUCGAGGCUCAACCUCGAGCUUGCAGGCGAUACGGGCAGACUUGAGUACUGCAGGGGAGACUGGAAUUCCUGGUGUAGCGGUGAAAUGCGCAGAUAUCAGGAGGAACACCGGUGGCGAAGGCGGGUCUCUGGGCAGUAACUGACGCUGAGGAGCGAAAGCGUGGGUAGCGAACAGGAUUAGAUACCCUGGUAGUCCACGCCGUAAACGGU